UACAUGGGGUGCAAACGUUGCUCGGAAUUAUUGGGCGUAAAGCGCACGUAGGUGGUCUGUUAUGUCAGAUGUGAAAGCCCUCGGCUUAACUGAGGAAGUGCACCUGAAACUGGCAGGCUUGAGUACGAAAGAGGGUCGCGGAAUUCCCGGUGUAGAGGUGAAAUUCGUAGAUAUCGGGAGGAACACCGGUGGCGAAGGCGGCGACCUGGUUCGACAUUGACGCUGAAAACCGAAAGCUAGGGGAGCAAACGGG
rnacentral:rRNA from 1 species